CUGUCCUGGCUGCGUGCACAGAUACCUGGGCUCUGACCUGCUGUAGCAAAUUUCCUUUCUGUCGAUGGCUUACUUCUCAUGUUCACUUCUCCAGGUGAGUAUGACAGGUGGCAUCAGGGAGGAGUGCCCUGGGUCCUGACCACAGCUUUUGGGACCUGCUCACCAUCAUGCAGCAACUCUACAAUCUGCCGACUGAGGUCACUAUCUGUUUUAGCCGUCAGACCUCGGGGGACCACUGCCAAAUGAAACCAGCUAGAACCACAGCCCCCAAUCCCAGCACAGUCUGUCCAUGUUCCCCAUUCAUUUCUAAAGGUGAGAAAAAAGAGGUGAAGCUGUGAUGGGUGCUCAGUUCUGGUCCCUGGGUCUACUCUACCACCCUGACCAAGAGGCCCUUUAGUAAAGAAGCGUUUUAAAUUUGACCAAGACCACAGAGACGUUCACCAACUCCAUUUCCUUUUCUGGGCACACAGGAGGCAUUUCUCAGCCUCCCCUGCAACCUGAGAGAUCUUUCUUGUUCUCUCUGCUUCCAUGGCUACGAGAAGGCCAGUGCUGAAGAUCUUGGUGUCACAAGAUGGAAGGAGCCUGGAUCCCUGAGUUACUCCUUGGAGGGGAGCAGCCAAGCAGAGUUGCCCACUUGGUCUGGAC